CACGUAGGGGGCAAGCGUUGUCCGGAUUUAUUGGGCGUAAAGAGCUCGUAGGUGGUUCGGUAAGUCGGGUGUUAAACCCCCAGGCUCAACCUGGGGACGCCACUCGAUACUGCUGUGACUAGAGUCCGGUAGGGGAGCGUGGAAUUCCUGGUGUAGCGGUAAAAUGCGCAGAUAUCAGGAGGAACACCAGCGGCGAAGGCGGCGCUCUGGGCCGGUACUGACACUGAGGUGCGAAAGCGUGGGGAGCAAACAGG
rnacentral:rRNA from 1 species